rnacentral:rRNA from 1 species
UACGUAGGGCGCAAGCGUUAUCCGGAAUUAUUGGGCGUAAAGGGCUCGUAGGCGGUUUGUCGCGUCGGGAGUGAAAACGCCGUGCUUAACACGGCGCUUGCUUUCGAUACGGGCAGACUAGAGGUAUGCAGGGGAGAACGGAAUUCCUGGUGUAGCGGUGAAAUGCGCAGAUAUCAGGAGGAACACCGGUGGCGAAGGCGGUUCUCUGGGCAUUACCUGACGCUGAGGAGCGAAAGUGUGGGGAGCGAACAGG